GCGUGGGAAUAUACCUUUUAGUGGGGGACAACUCGAGGAAACUCGAGCUAAUACCGCAUGAGCUCUUCGGAGGAAAGCUGGGGACCUUAGGGCCUGGCGCUAAAAGAUUAGCCUGCGUACGAUUAGCUAGUUGGUGGGGUAAAGGCCUACCAAGGCGACGAUCGUUAGCUGGUCUGAGAGGAUGAUCAGCCACACUGGGACUGAGACACGGCCCAGACUCCUACGGGAGGCAGCAGUGGGGAAUAUUGGACAAUGGGGGCAACCCUGAUCCAGCAAUACCGCGUGUGUGAAGAAGGCCUG
rnacentral:rRNA from 1 species